GUAGAACUGCCUUGUGCAGACAAGGGACCUCCCUCCUUCUCAAACCAUGCUCACGAGAAAACCUCCAUCUGGCGAACCGCCCAGCCCAGCCCUGACUCCACCAUGGACCCCAGGCUCCUCUGCUGGGUGACCCUCUGUCUCCUGGGGCAAGGUCACACAGGACCCGGAGUCUCCCAGUUCCCCAGGCACAGGGUCACAGAGAGGGGCCAAAAUGUAACUCUCGGGUGUGAUCCCAUUUCUGGUCAUACUGUCCUUUAUUGGUACCGACAGACCACAGGGAAAGGCCUGGAGUUUUUGGUUUACUUCCAAAACACGGAUCCAGUGGACAAAUCAGGGAUGACCAAUGAUCGGUUGUCGGUCAAGAGGUCUAAGGGGACCAACUCCACUCUGCAGAUCCAGCGUGCAGAGCAGGGGGACUCGGCUGUGUACCUCUGUGCCAGCAGUCCCACCACAGUGGGGCACCACACCCUCCAUUUUGGGGAGGGGACCCGGCUCACUGUUGUAGAGAAUCUGGAAAAGGUCAAACCUCCCACGGUCACAGUGUUUGAACCGUCAGAAGCAGAGACCUCCCGAACCCAGAAGGCCACACUCGUGUGCCUGGCCACCGGCUUCUACCCCGAUCACGUGGAGCUGAGCUGGUGGGUGAAUGGGAAGGAAGUCCAGAAUGGGGUCAGCACGGACCCUCAGCCCUACAAGGAGCGGCUGGAUGAGAAUGACUCCAGCUACUGCCUGAGCAGCCGGCUGAGGGUGUCCUCUGCCUUCUGGCACAACCCUCGCAACCACUUUCGCUGCCAAGUCCAGUUCCACGGGCUCGGGGACAAUGACGAGUGGCAGAACAGCCAACGGACCAAACCCGUCACCCAGAACAUCAGUGCCGAGGCCUGGGGCAGAGCAGACUGUGGCUUCACUUCGGUGUCCUAUCAGCAGGGCAUCCUGUCUGCCACCAUCCUCUAUGAGAUCCUGCUGGGGAAGGCCACCCUGUACGCUGUGCUGGUCGGUGCCCUGGUGCUGAUGGCCAAGGUCAGGAGAAAGGGUUCCUGAAACUACCUCAGAGGCAGAGGCGGGAGCUUCCAGCUUGCUAUUCCCCAGUAUGGAUUCUCCUUUUUCGACUUCUAGCCAGUGCUUCUCAAGAGCUGUUUUCAUCUCUCCGUUCACCCCAAUAAUUACCCACUAUGUUCCUGAACACCUGGAUGCUGAUGACCCAAAUCUCCCUAACCCAGGGGGACCCCUAGUGUGACUAAAUUGACUGUUGACUGAAUCAAUAAAAAUGAUGUGUUCUGGCUUGA